AUUGAACGCUGGCGGCGUGCUUAACACAUGCAAGUCGAGCGGCAGCGGGCCCGCAAGGGUGCCGGCGAGCGGCGGACGGGUGAGCAAUACAUAGGAAUUUUCCCAGAGGCGGGGGAUAGCCCGGCGAAAGCCGGAUUAAUACCGCAUGAUGUCGAAAGACCAAAGUAGGGGACCGUAAGGCCUUACACCUUUGGAUGAGCCUAUGUCGGAUUAGCUAGUUGGCGGGGUAACGGCCCACCAAGGCAACGAUCCGUAGCUGGUCUGAGAGGACGAUCAGCCACACCGGAACUGAGACACGGUCCGGACUCCUACGGGAGGCAGCAGUGGGGAAUAUUGGACAAUGGGCGAAAGCCUGAUCCAGCGACGCCGCGUGGGUGAAGAAGGCCUUCGGGUUGUAAAGCCCUUUAAGCCGGGACGAAAAAAUCGGCGAUAACAUCGCCGGUCUUGACGGUACCGGAAGAAUAAGCACCGGCUAACUCUGUGCCAGCCGCCGCAGUAAGAC
rnacentral:rRNA from 1 species